AGUCGAACGGUGAAGAGGAGCUUGCUCCUUGGAUCAGUGGCGAACGGGUGAGUAACACGUGAGCAAUCUGCCCUUGACUCUGGGAUAACUGCGGGAAACUGUAGCUAAUACCGGAUAUUACCUUGGAAGGCAUCUUCUGGGGUGGAAAGAAUUUUGGUCAAGGAUGAGCUCGCGGCCUAUCAGCUAGUUGGUGAGGUAAUGGCUCACCAAGGCGACGACGGGUAGCCGGCCUGAGAGGGUGACCGGCCACACUGGGACUGAGACACGGCCCAGACUCCUACGGGAGGCAGCAGUGGGGAAUAUUGCACAAUGGGCGCAAGCCUGAUGCAGCAACGCCGCGUGAGGGACGACGGCCUUCGGGUUGUAAACCUCUUUUAGUAGGGAAGAAGCGACUGGGUUUUCCUGGGAGUGACGGUACCUGCAGAAAAAGCACCGGCUAACUACGUGCCAGCAGCCGCGGUAAUACGUAGGGUGCAAGCGUUGUCCGGAAUUAUUGGGCGUAAAGAGCUCGUAGGCGGUUUGUCGCGUCUGCUGUGAAAACCCGAGGCUCAACCUCGGGCCUGCAGUGGGUACGGGCAGACUAGAGUGCGGUAGGGGAGAUUGGAAUUCCUGGUGUAGCGGUGGAAUGCGCA
rnacentral:rRNA from 1 species